UGCAGGUUUUCCUACCAGAGCUACUCGGCGGUGCUUGAAGAGAGGUCUUCCAUGAUGCAUUCGCUUUAUUUUUCGACGAAUCAUACAUGGUUGACCUUUUUUUAAGUAUCAAAUCUGGCCUUAAAGCACCCUGGGACGAGG